rnacentral:rRNA from 1 species
GCCGGGAGUGGKUAAUUUGCSCGCCUGCUGCCUUCCUUGGAUGUGGUAGCCGUUUCUCARGCUCCCUCUCCGGAAUCGAACCCUGAUUCCCCGUUACCCGUUACAACCAUGGUAGGCGCARAACCUACCAUCGACAGUUGAUAAGGCAGACAUUUGAAAGAUGCGUCGCCGGUGCGAUGACCGUGCGAUCAGCGUAAAGUUAUUCARAGUCACCAAGUUGUACGAUAACGAGCGAACCCGCCACCGAUUGGUUUUGAUCUAAUAAAAGCACUCCUUCCGUCUCCGGUCGGAGCUCUGUUUGCAUGUAUUAGCUCUAGAAUUACCACAGUUAUCCAAGUAAUUGUGGGUACGAUCUAAGGAACCAUAACUGAUUUAAUGAGCCUUUCGCGGUUUCACCUUAAUUUGGCUUGUACUGAGACAUGCAUGGCUUAAUCUUUGAGACAAGCAUAUGACUACUGGCAGGAUCAAACCAGGUUG